rnacentral:tRNA from 1 species
CGAGGUGGCGGAAUGGUAGACGCGGUGGACUUAAAAUCCAUUGUCCUAAAAGACGUGCGAGUUCGAGUCUCGCCCUCGGC